UACGUAGGUCCCGAGCGUUAUCCGGAUUUAUUGGGCGUAAAGCGAGCGCAGGCGGUUGGAUAAGUCUGAAGUUAAAGGCUGUGGCUUAACCAUAGUAUGCUUUGGAAACUGUUCAACUUGAGUACAGAAGGGGAGAGUGGAAUUCCAUGUGUAGCGGUGGAAUGCGUAGAUAUAUGGAGGAACACCGGUGGCGAAAGCGGCUCUCUGGUCUGUAACUGACGCUGAGGCUCGAAAGCAUGGGUAGCGAACAG
rnacentral:rRNA from 1 species